rnacentral:tRNA from 2 species
GCGGGUUUAGCUCAGUUGGGAGAGCGUCAGACUGAAGUCAAACUUCAAUCAAUCGAUAUCUGAAGGUCAUGUGUUCGAUCCACAUAAACCGCA